GCCCUGGUGGCUCAAAUGGUUAAGUGCUUGGCUGCUAACCAAAAGGUUAGUGGUUCGAACCCAUGCAGUGGCU
rnacentral:tRNA from 1 species